CCUGCCAUGGCCUCCAGGCUCCUGUGCUGUGUGGCCCUUUGUGUCCUGGGAACAGGCCCAGUGGAUUCUGGAGUCAUCCAAACACCAAGACACCUGAUUAAAGCAAGAGGACAGCAAGUGACAAUGAGAUGUUCCCCUAUCUCUGGGCACAAAAGUGUAUCUUGGUACCAAGAGGUACUGGGCCAGGGCCCCCAGUUCCUCGUUCAGUAUUACAAUAGGAGAGAGAAUGAAAAAGGAGACAUCUCGGAUAGAUUCUCAGGGGAGCAGUUCAGUAACUAUAGUUCUGAGCUGAACGUGAGCAUCCUGGAGCUGACAGACUCGGCCCUGUACCUCUGUGCCAGCAGCGUAGCACAGCCCUGCAGAGUCACCAGUGUUCUGUGCACAAACCUCCCUGCCCCAGCGUGGAGCAACCUCAGAGCUGACAGAUUUGUGAAGACCUCGGGGCUGCAGUGGGAGAGAAAAACGAGUUAG